rnacentral:rRNA from 1 species
AUUGAACGCUGGCGGCAUGCCUUACACAUGCAAGUCGAACGGUAACAGGUCUUCGGAUGCUGACGAGUGGCGAACGGGGUGAGUAAUACAUCGGAACGUGCCCGAUCGUGGGGGAUAACGCAGCGAAAGCUGUGCUAAUACCGCAUACGAUCUACGGAUGAAAGCGGGGGAUCGCAAGACCUCGCGCGGACGGAGCGGCCGAUGGCAGAUUAGGUAGUUGGUGGGAUAAAAGACUUACCAAGCCGACGAUCUGUAGCUGGUCUGAGAGGACGACCAGCCACACUGGACUGAGACACGGUCCAGACUCCUACGGGAGGCAGCAGUGGGGAA